rnacentral:rRNA from 1 species
AGAGUUUGAUCCUGGCUCAGGAUGAACGCUGACAGAAUGCUUAACACAUGCAAGUCUACUUGAACUUCGGUUUGGGUGGCGGACGGGUGAGUAACGCGUAAAGAACUUGCCUCACAGUUAGGGACAACAUUUGGAAACGAAUGCUAAUACCUGAUAUUAUGAUUUUAGGGCAUCCUAAGAUUAUGAAAGCUAUAUGCGCUGUGAGAGAGCUUUGCGUCCCAUUAGCUAGUUGGAGAGGUAACGGCUCACCAAGGCGAUGAUGGGUAGCCGGCCUGAGAGGGUGAACGGCCACAAGGGGACUGAGACACGGCCCUUACUCCUACGGGAGGCAGCAGUGGGGAAUAUUGGACAAUGGACCAAAAGUCUGAUCCAGCAAUUCUGUGUGCACGAUGACGUUUUUCGGAAUGUAAAGUGCUUUCAGUUGGGAAGAAAAAAAUGACGGUACCAACAGAAGAAGUGACGGCUAAAUACGUGCCAGCAGCCGCGGUAAUACGUAUGUCACAAGCGUUAUCCGGAUUUAUUGGGCGUAAAGCGCGUCUAGGUGGUUAUGUAAGUCUGAUGUGAAAAUGCAGGGCUCAACUCUGUAUUGCGUUGGAAACUGCAUGACUAGAGUACUGGAGAGGUAAGCGGAACUACAAGUGUAGAGGUGAAAUUCGUAGAUAUUUGUAGGAAUGCCGAUGGGGAAGCCAGCUUACUGGACAGAUACUGACGCUAAAGCGCGAAAGCGUGGGUAGCAAACAGGAUUAGAUACCCUGGUAGUCCACGCCGUAAACGAUGAG